AGCAUAUCAAUAAGCGGAGGAAAAGAAACUAACAAGGAUUCCCCUAGUAACUGCGAGUGAAGCGGGAAAAGCUCAAAUUUAAAAUCUGGCGGCCUCUGGUUGUCCGAGUUGUAAUCUAGAGAAGUGUUAUCCGCGCUGGACCGUGUACAAGUCUCCUGGAAUGGAGCGUCAUAGAGGGUGAGAAUCCCGUCUUUGACACGGACUACCAGGGCUUUGUGAUGCGCUCUCAAAGAGUCGAGUUGUUUGGGAAUGCAGCUCAAAAUGGGUGGUAAAUUCCAUCUAAAGCUAAAUAUUGGCGAGAGACCGAUAGCGAACAAGUACCGUGAGGGAAAGAUGAAAAGAACUUUGGAAAGAGAGUUAAACAGUACGUGAAAUUGCUGAAAGGGAAACGCUUGAAGUCAGUCGCGUUGUCCAGGGAUCAGCCUUGCUUUUGCUUGGUGCACUUUCUGGUUGACGGGUCAGCAUCAAUUUUGACUAUUGGAAAAAGAUUGAGGGAAUGUGGCAUCUUCGGAUGUGUUAUAGCCCUUGGUUGUAUACAAUGGUUGGGAUUGAGGAACUCAGCACGCCGCAAGGCCGGGUUUUUAACCACGUACGUGCUUAGGAUGCUGGCAUAAUGGCUUUAAUCGACCCGUCUUGAAACACGGACCAAGGAGUCUAACAUGCCUGCGAGUGUUUGGGUGGAAAACCCGAGCGCGUAAUGAAAGUGAAAGUUGAGAUCCCUGUCGUGGGGAGCAUCGACGCCCGGACCAGACCUUUUGUGACGGUUCCGCGGUAGAGCAUGUAUGUUGGGACCCGAAAGAUGGUGAACUAUGCCUGAAUAGGGUGAAGCCAGAGGAAACUCUGGUGGAGGCUCGUAGCGAUUCUGACGUGCAAAUCGAUCGUCAAAUUUGGGUAUAGGGGCGAAAGACUAAUCGAACCAUCUAGUAGCUG
rnacentral:rRNA from 1 species